rnacentral:rRNA from 1 species
CAGCUUGCUGGGGGAUUAGUGGCGAACGGGUGAGUAACACGUGAGUAACCUGCCCUUGACUCUGGGAUAAGCCUGGGAAACUGGGUCUAAUACCGGAUACGACCAUUCCACGCAUGUGGUGGUGGUGGAAAGCUUUUGUGGUUUUGGAUGGACUCGCGGCCUAUCAGCUUGUUGGUGGGGUAAUGGCCUACCAAGGCGACGACGGGUAGCCGGCCUGAGAGGGUGACCGGCCACACUGGGACUGAGACACGGCCCAGACUCCUACGGGAGGCAGCAGUGGGGAAUAUUGCACAAUGGGCGCAAGCCUGAUGCAGCGACGCCGCGUGAGGGAUGACGGCCUUCGGGUUGUAAACCUCUUUCAGUAGGGAAGAAGCGAAAGUGACGGUACCUGCAGAAGAAGCGCCGGCUAACUACGUGCCAGCAGCCGCGGUAAUACGUAGGGCGCAAGCGUUAUCCGGAAUUAUUGGGCGUAAAGAGCUCGUAGGCGGUUUGUCGCGUCUGCUGUGAAAGACCGGGGCUCAACUCCGGUUCUGCAGUGGGUACGGGCAGACUAGAGUGCAGUAGGGGAGACUGGAAUUCCUGGUGUAGCGGUGAAAUGCGCAGAUAUCAGGAGGAACACCGAUGGCGAAGGCAGGUCUCUGGGCUGUAACUGACGCUGAGGAGCGAAAGCAUGGGGAGCGAACAGGAUUAGAUACCCUGGUAGUCCAUGCCGUAAACGUUGGGCACUAGGUGUGGGGGACAUUCCACGUUUUCCGCGCCGUAGCUAACGCAUUAAGUGCCCCGCCUGGGGAGUACGGCCG